rnacentral:tRNA from 1 species
GCGCCUGUAGCUCAGUGGAUAGAGUGUCGGUCUCCGGAACCGAAGGUCGCGGGUUCGAAUCCCGCCGGGCGUA